CAUCACCUCCACCACCAGUUCACUCACCACCACCACCGGUAGCAUCACCUCCACCUCCCGUCCACUCACCACCACCACCGGUUGCCUCACCUCCACCUCCCGUCCACUCACCACCACCACCAGUAGCCUCACCUCCACCUCCAGUCCACUCACCACCACCACCGGUUGCCUCCCCUCCACCUCCAGUCCCCUCACCACUACCACCACCACCGGUAGCGUCGCCUCCACCACCCGUCCACUCACCACCACCACCGGUAGCGUCGCCUCCACCACCCGUCCACUCACCACCACCACCGGUAGCAUCCCCUCCACCUCCCGUCCACUCACCACCACCACCAGUAGCGUCUCGUCCACCUCCCAUCCACUCACCACCACCACCAGUAGCCUCACCUCCACCUCCAGUCCACUCACCACCACCACCGGUUGCCUCCCCUCCACCUCCAGUCCCCUCACCACUACCACCACCACCGGUAGCGUCGCCUCCACCACCCGUCCACUCACCACCACCACCGGUAGCGUCGCCUCCACCACCCGUCCACUCACCACCACCACCGGUAGCAUCCCCUCCACCUCCCGUCCACUCACCACCACCACCAGUAGCGUCUCGUCCACCUCCCAUCCACUCACCACCACCACCAGUAGCCUCACCUCCACCUCCAGUCCACUCACCACCACCACCGGUUGCCUCCCCUCCACCUCCAGUCCCCUCACCACUACCACCACCACCGGUAGCGUCGCCUCCACCACCCGUCCACUCACCACCACCACCGGUAGCGUCGCCUCCACCACCCGUCCACUCACCACCACCACCGGUAGCAUCCCCUCCACCUCCCGUCCACUCACCACCACCACCAGUAGCGUCUCGUCCACCUCCCAUCCACUCACCACCACCACCAGUAGCCUCACCUCCACCUCCAGUCCACUCACCACCACCACCGGUUGCCUCCCCUCCACCUCCAGUCCCCUCACCACUACCACCACCACCGGUAGCGUCGCCUCCACCACCCGUCCACUCACCACCACCACCGGUAGCGUCGCCUCCACCACCCGUCCACUCACCACCACCACCGGUAGCAUCCCCUCCACCUCCCGUCCACUCACCACCACCACCAGUAGCGUCUCGUCCACCUCCCGUCCACUCACCACCACCACCGGUUGCCUCACCUCCACCUCCCGUCCACUCACCACCACCACCACCGGUUGCCUCACCUCCACCUCCCGUCCACUCACCACCACCUCCAGUCCACUCACCACCACCACCGGUUGCCUCCCCUCCACCUCCAGUCCCCUCACCAUUGCCACCACCACCCGUCCACUCACCACCACCACCGGUAGCAUCCCCUCCACUUCCCAUCCACUCACCACCACCACCAGUAGCGUCGCCUCCACCUCCAGUCCACUCACCACCACCACCAGCUCCUAUAAUGUCUCCACCUCCACCCGCUUUUGAGGAUGUCGCUCUUCCCCCAACGUUGGGCUCGCUAUACGCGUCACCACCACCACCAAUUUUCCAAGGUUAUUAAGA
rnacentral:lncRNA from 1 species